rnacentral:lncRNA from 1 species
AGAUAAUAAGAGCGCUAGAAAGGUGACUUCCAUGGCAGUGACCCAAUGGGAGGAGAGGUUUAUCAAACCAAGUGAAAUCCGUUUUUAGGAUCAAGAUGGUUGUGUUUUCUCCAUGAGAGUUUGUCGGCCAUGGAUUUAGGUUUUGAGUUGUAGAUGCUGUUGUACGGGCUAGCAGUAUAGCUCGAAGGAGGAGAUCGAGUGCGUGGCAUCAAUUUUGGAUUUGGCAGCGCGAUGGCCCAAGCGACACAAUUAUGUCUAUGAACCCAAUAAUAUUUUAAUAUUUUAGCGUAGAAGAUGUUGCUAACAUUAUUUUGCAAGAGGAUCAAAGACUGCGAGACAAUUGAAUAAUGGGAGUAUGAAUAACAAAGUAUGAGGAUGCGAUGGGAGUGUGGGCAACAUGAAGGGAUGGGACUAUACAUCGAUUGCAGACACCAGCGACACCCAUAGCAUGGGCAAUGCCGGCCUGACCAAGACCAUGGCAAGGUGUGUGCAAGUGACAAAUAAUAGGGUAGGUCUGAUCUUGACGGCUAUACAGUAGAUUUUCAUUAGUUCUUACAUGUGCAAUGACAAUAUUAUUAGUGAUACUUGUGUGUGUGAGGCGCACAUGACGAUGAUAGUUUUGAUCUACAAUAUGAGCGCACAUUUAAAAGAUAUCAGGAUGCACAACUCAAUACAAGAAUGAGCAACAAAGUACAGGCAUACCGCGGCUUUAAAGCUUGGGGUGGGGGGAGGGAGGGAGAAGUGGCAUUCCCAAAACGUUGUUUUAGAGUUCAUGAAAAUUUUAGAAGAAAAAUAAUAAUAGCUUGCAGCCUUUGAACCCAAAAGAAAAACUAAUAGGAGGAAGAGUGCAAAGAUAAAAGGAACGUAGAAAAGAAUAAGUCGAAGCAUACAUCAGGGACAUGAAUUUUUUUCUCCUUUUUCUCCUGUUGAAAAAGGAGGAAGAUGAAUUAAGAAAUCGUGAAAAA